AUGGGCCCCACCUGGCCAGGCUGUGCAGAGCUGCUCCUGGACGAGAGCUGUGCCGAGGCCCAGGACGGGGAGCUGGACGGGCUGUGGACCACCAUCUCCAUCUUCAUCACCCUCUUCCUGCUCAGCGUGUGUUACAGCGCCACCGUCACGCUCUUCAAGCCAGCAUCCAGCCCAGCGGGCCCCCCUGGGCCUGCACCCCCACCCUCUGGCCUCACGGCCAUCACAGGCUGCGUCCCGCCCGGGACCUGCCCCUUUGGAGAACCGAGUGGACAGCAGGUUCUGCUCCAACCUGAGCUGACGGACACCCGCCAGCCCCUCCACGCAGCCACCAAGAUAGGCCUGGCGAAGGCAGGCGGGGUCACUGCUGAGGGCGGGCCUGAAGCGGGCUCCCUCGGGCGGUCAGCAGGGAAGCCUGGCUGGUCAGUGAGAGCCUCCAUGCAUGGCCCAGCCGUCUUCCUCUUGGCCCCCUGCUCCAGAGGCACCGCCGGGGGGGUCGCCUCCGUGACACUGGGCUGCCUGGUCAAGGACUACAUCCCAGAGCCCGUGACCGUGACCUGGGACGCGGGGUCCCUGAAUACGAGCGUCGUGACCCUCCCCGCCGUCUUCAACUUGAACUCCAGCCGCUACACCACCAGCAGCUACAUGACCGCCUCUGGCGAAUGGGCCAAACAGACGUUCACCUGCAACGUGAAGCACCCCGGGUCUGAUCCCAUCAACAAGACCAUAGACAUAGACCUUGCGCCAGCGUGCGCCACGAACGUCACCCAGCCCACGGUGAGGCUCUACCACUCGUCCUGCGACCCCAGCGGCGACACCCACGCCACCAUCCAGCUGCUGUGCCUCAUCACCGACUUCACCCCGGGCGACCUCAAGGUCACCUGGCUGGUGGACAAUCAGAGGAGCGAGAACCUGUUCCCGACGACCGACCCCCCUCGGCAGGAGGGCGCGCUGGCCUCCACCUCCAGCCGGCUCAACAUCAGCCAGGGGGAGUGGGUGUCCCAGAGAACCUACGCCUGCCAGGUCAGCCUGCACGGCUGCACCGUUAAGGCCCAAGCCCGCACCUGCCCAGAGUCCGAGCCCCGUGGCGUGAGCGUCUACCUGAUCCCGCCCAGCCCCCUGGACCUGUACGUCCACAAGUCGCCCAAGGUGUCCUGCCUGGUGGUGGACCUGGCCAGCCUGCAGGGCAUGAGUCUGCAGUGGUCCCGGAAGAGCGGGGCCCCCAUAACCGGGGCCACCCAGAUCAGCAAGCAACACUUCAACAUGACCUACUCCGUCACGUCCACCCUGCCCGGUGCAGUGGCUGCAGGACGCCGCCUGAAGGUCCCCCGGGCCGACUGGAAGAAGAGGAGCAGGUUCACCUGCCAAGUGACCCACGAGGCUCUGCCCGGCUCACGGACCCUCGAGCGAUCAGUGUCCAAAGACCCUGAGCUGGACCUGCAGGACCUGUGCGUGGGGGCGGCCGAGGGUGAGGAGCUGGACGGACUGUGGAGCAGCCUCUUCGUCUUCAUCGCGCUCUUCCUGCUCAGCGUGACCUAUGGCGCCUCCGUCACCCUCUUCAAGGUGAAGUGGGUCUUGAGCUCGGUCCUGCCGGGGCCGCCCCAGGCCACCCACGACUACGAGAACAUCGAGGACCCCGCGUGGCCAGUGGCCUGGGAUGUGGAGGCUGAGAAGCCCCUCUGGGGAGAGGCCCUGGGACUGUGUGGGGCUGUGGGCAGGGAGGAGAAGGACUCCCAGGAGCAGAGAAGGGGACCCAUAGCGAGCCCCACCAGCCCCACGCUCUUCCCACUGAGCCUCAGUAGCACCGACUCAGCUGGUCACGUGGUCAUCGGCUGCCUGGUCCAGGACUUCUUCCCAUCGGCGCCCGUGAACGUGACCUGGGGCAGCAGCGGGCCGGGCACCUCCAUCCGGAACUUUCUCCCCGCCCCCACCUCCCGGGGCCUGUACACCAUGGUCAGCCAGCUGACCCUGCCGGCCGACCAGUGCCCAGAUGGCGCGACCCAGAGUUGCCACGUGCAGCACAACUCCAGCCCCAGCAAGACCAAGAACGUGCCCUGCAAAGUUAAGACACCCACAUGCCCGAACUGCCAGCCCCGCCUGACCCUGAGCCCGCCAGCCCUCGAGGACCUGCUCCUGGGCUCCAACGCCAACCUCACGUGCACGCUGAGUGGCCUGAAGAAGCCCGAGGGCGCCAGCUUCAGCUGGAACCCCACGGGCGGGAAGGAUGCCAUCCAGGAGGCCGCGCAGCCUGAUGCCUGCGGCUGCUACAGGGACCUGGCCUUCGGCUACCUCUGUUCCCAGGGCCAAGGUGGGGUAAGAGCUCCCAACAACCCUGCCCACUGCUCCCCUCUCAAGGGUCCAGUCACCCAAGGGCAGUAG